AGAGUUUGAUCAUGGCUCAGAUUGAACGCUGGCGGUAGGCUUAACACAUGCAAGUCGUGCGAGAAAGUAUCUUCGGAUAUGAGUAGAGCGGCGGACGGGUGAGUAACGCGUAGGAAUCUACCUAGUAGAAGGGGAUAGCCCGGGGAAACUCGGAUUAAUACCGUAUACCCCCUAAGGGAGAAAGAGGGCCUCUCUUGAAGCUCUCGCUAUUAGAUGAGCCUGCGUAAGAUUAGCUUGUUGGUAAGGUAAUGGCUUACCAAGGCUACGAUCUUUAGCUGGUCUGAGAGGACGAUCAGCCACAUUGGGACUGAGACACGGCCCAGACUCCUACGGGAGGCAGCAGUGGGGAAUAUUGGACAAUGGGCGCAAGCCUGAUCCAGCCAUACCGCGUGUGUGAAGAAGGCCUUCGGGUUGUAAAGCACUUUAAGCAGGGAGAAAAAGCAAUAAGUUAAUACCUUAUUGCCGUGAUGUUACCUGCAGAAUAAGCACCGGCUAAUUCCGUGUCAGCAGCCGCGGUAAUACGGAAGGUGCAAGCGUUAAUCGGAAUUACUGGGCGUAAAGCGCGCGUAGGUGGUUUGUUAAGUUGGAUGUGAAAGCCCUGGGCUCAACCUAGGAACUGCAUCCAAAACUAACUCACUAGAGUACGAUAGA
rnacentral:rRNA from 1 species